AGAGACAGCGCCUCCUUAGCUUUCCCAGCUGCUGGCUCUGCUGAGCCCUAAUGAGCUCCAGCCUGCUGGUCCCCAUCCGAGCAGCCUGCAGGUCCUCAGCGCUGGCUGCAAUAGCGGCUGCAGGCCAUGUGACCUUCGGCCCUCCCUCCCUCUCACCCUGUGAUCCGCACGUGGCCUCUGGGGAGGCAGAAACAAACCCUCAGAUCUGCCACUGGGAACCUUUCAGCGCCAGCGACUUCAAAGGGGGCAGCAGGGCGGCGGGGGCGGCGGAUGCUUUUCUUAAAGAGCUACACCACUUUUUAAUUCAAAGCAGAUCCUGGGAACAGCUGUCAAGCCGCUGCUUGGGAGGGACGAGGAGGUGUGAGUAGGAGCCGAGAUUCUUACCUGUCCAGGUGUCUGCCUGGCCUGGAAGCCACCGAGACCAAAUGUGGGGCAGCUCCAUGCAUGGUGGUCCAUGCGUGGGGGUCCCUGACGAUCUCACAUGCACUCACCGGAGCUCUGUCCCAGGCUUGUCUGCUGGGGGACUUCAUUCUCUGGAUGUACCGUGUGGUGGAGUGGAGCAGAGUUAAACGAGGUUCCAGAGUGAGUCGUACAGGCUGCAGAGAAGACAACAAAUGAGGAAAAACAGGAGGGCCACUGUGGAACUGGAAGAUUACUUCCUAUGUGGGUGACAGUCAGAGUGAUGAAGAGGGAGUGACCCUUUUCUGGCUAUGGGUCAUUUUAUAUGUAUAACUUUUGAAUCAAAUAAUAUUUAACUCAAAUGAAUAUUCUCCAUAAUCAAAUUAUUAAAUAGAGAAAGAAUGAAAAAGACCCUAAAAUUCAGUCAUAAAUGAUUUUUUGAUUCCUUUAUUGUAUAUCAAAUCAACAUAACCACGCAGAAAAAAAGAGAAUUCAAACAGCUUUGAACACCAUAUUCUGAAUUUCAGUGUGAUAUAUUCUGAGGACAAAAAUAAUUACAAAGAGAUCUUGAGAUUUCCUUAGUAGGUUUGGUUAGUAGCAGGAUUGUUAUAGUAAUUCCAAAGCUAUUUGGAGGGCAUUUUGGAACAGAGUAAAUUAAUAAAUAUGU